CCACCAUGGCUGAUUUUGAGCUACCAUGGGGACAUCAAUGGACUCACAACAUUUCUGAAAAUUUAACAGUAGGCUCUUUUGAGCCAGUACAAGCCAGUUCCAGCGCAAGCUAGCUCUAUCACACCACACUGCCUGAGGGUAUAACAGUGAACACAACUUACUGACCAACAGAGACAGAAGCAAAUAGAGUGUGCCUUGGAAAACAGAAAAAGAAACAGGUGUAAUCCAUCUAAAACAACUAGACCAUCUAUUGUAAGCUGAGAGAAAGAGAAGUGAGAAAGAAAUCCUCAAAGCAAAUGAAUGCCAGUGCUGGCAAGAAAAUCUCCCUGGUCUCAUCUGUAGUUACAGCUGAAUAUUAGAGUCUCGAUAAAAUACUGGCAAACCGAAUGCAGCAGCACAUCAAAAAGCU
rnacentral:lncRNA from 1 species